UGGGAGAACUCUGGUCAAGGAACUCGGCCAAUUGACCCCGUAACUUCGGGAAAAGGGGUGCCUCGGUAGGGUGUAGGGUAAUACUGAAGCCCGAGGAGGCCGCAGAGAAAUGGCAGGGGCGACUGUUUAACAAAAACACAGGGCUCUGCAAACUCGUAAGAGGAUGUAUAGGGUCUGACGCCUGCCCGGUGCUGGAAGGUUAAGGGGAAGGGUCAUCCCGAGCAAUCGGGAGAAGCUCUGAUCCGAAGCCCCAGUAAACGGCGGCCGUAACUAUAAAGUAGGACGUUGUAGUUACGUAAAAAAAUCUGGCUAUAUGCUGGGAAAUCCUGUUAGGCUUUUGGUACUCGCUAUCUAUUAAGAUAGCAGUGAAAAUCCAAAAGAUAGGGACAACCAGCAGGAAAGGACAUAUAUGCUAAAAGUAAAGCAAAUACCAGAAAGAAUAGGCUAUUAUCUUGCUGGCUUUGCCGAUGGAGAAGGUAGUUUUAACGUUGUUUUAAGAAAAAGGGAUGAUUAUGUAACAGGGUGGAAAGUUAGUGUUUGCUUUAAUGUUUCCCAAAAAGAUCCUGUUAUAUUGAGUUUGUUUAAGCGCUAUCUUCAAUGUGGAACUAUGAGAAAAAGAAAAGAUCGUAUAUACUAUUAUGAAGUCAAUAAUUUCAAUGCAAUAGUUGAAAAUGUCAUCCCUUUUUUUGAUAAAUUUAACUUCUUAUCGGCGAAGAAAAAAAAGGACUAUAGUAAAUUUAAACAAAUAGUUGAGAUUAUGAAAAAGGAUCAGCAUUUAACCAUUGAAGGUUUACAGAAGAUAAUAGCCAUAAGAAAGAAAAUGAAUGAUGGUGGAAAAAGAAAAUAUGAGGAUAUUAAACUUUUAGCAGAAUGAAUAUAUGUCAUCCUCAGAGACCAUACGCCAGACACAGCAAAAAAGCUGUGAAGAUAUGGUCCGACCUGCAUGGAAACAUGCAGAAUGUGGCAGAAAUGACCACAUCGCCUGUAAAGUUUUACAGGUAGUAACAAUGAGAACGGUCCUAAGGUAGCGAAAUUCCUUGUCGGGUAAGUAAUAGCAACUUGCCCAUGUCCGGCUCAUAUCGGGGAAGCCCUCCUACUCAUAAAGAGUGUGGGGUAAUCCCGAGGGAAGCUUUGAACUCGCGAGGGUUCAAAAGCCCCGUAACGACUGAUCCGAAAGGAGAGGCAUGUAAGAUAUUACAUGCAAGACGCCGGCCCUCUUCCCCUUAAGGGUGAAAGAAUAUAUGGAGGUUAUAAUGUUAGAUCCAUGGUAUAUAACCGGAUUAUCAGAAGGAGAAGGGUGUUUCUGUGUAAGUUUCACAAAAAGAGCUAAACUUAAUGUAGGUAUUGAAACGCGACCAUCAUUUUCCAUAUCUUUGAAUAGAAGAGAUGUGGAGCUGAUAAAACAGGUUAGGAAUUUUUUUGGAUGUGGUGGUAUAAGAUAUAGUAAAAGUGAUAGAACUUUUAAAUUUGAAGUUAGAAAUAUUACUGACUUAGUAAAGAAAGUUAUACCACACUUUGAAACCUAUCCGCUCGUUGGUGAGAAAAAAGAAGAUUUUGCUAAGUUUAAGGAAAUAUGCAAAAUGGUAAGAGCAAACUUACAUUUAUCAAAGAAACACCUGGCGAUCAUUGUAGAUUUAGCAUAUGCAAUGAAUCCUUCUGGUAAGAGAAAAUAUACAAAAAGAGACCUCCUAAGUAUUCUUGAAGAGGUGAAGGUAUAGUCUGCCCCCUAUCGAAAGAUAGGAAGUGGUGAAGUUCCGACCUGCAUGAAUGGCGUAACGACCUCUGCACUGUCUCGACCAGAGGCCCAGUGAACUUAGAACGACGGUGAAGAUACCGUCUGCCCGCAGAAAGACGGAAAGACCCCGUGCACCUUUACUAUACCCUGUCAGUGAACUUUUGGGUAAUCUGUGUAGGAUAGGUGGGAGGCUGUGAAGUCCUGGCGCCAGCUGGGAUGGAGCCGUCCUUGAAAUACCACCCUGGUUACUUGAAGGUUCUAACUCAGGUCUGUAAUCCAGAUCGAGGACACUGGCAGGCGGGUAGUUUGACUGGGGCGGUCGCCUCCCAAAAAGUAACGGAGGCGCGCAAAGGUUCCCUCAGGCGGAUUGGAAACCCGCCGUGGAGUGCAAAGGCAUAAGGGAGCUUAACUGUGAGACCGACGGGUCGAGCAGGUGCGAAAGCAGGCCUUAGUGAUCCGGUGGUCCCGGAUGGAAGGGCCAUCGCUCAACGGAUAAAAGGUACGCCGGGGAUAACAGGCUGAUCUCCCCCAAGAGUCCACAUCGACGGGGAGGUUUGGCACCUCGAUGUCGUCUCAUCGCAUCCUGGGGCUGAAGUAGGUCCCAAGGGUUCGGCUGUUCGCCGAUUAAAGCGGUACGUGAGAUGGGUUCAGAACGUCGUGAGACAGUUCGGUCCCUAUCUUCUGUGGGCGUAGGAGAUUUGAGGGGAGCUGUCCCUAGUACGAGAGGACCGGGAUGGACGGACCUCUGGUGUUCCAGCUGUCACGCCAGUGGCAAUCGCUGGGUAGCUAUGUCCGGAAGGGAUAACCGCUGAAAGCAUCUAAGCGGUAAGCCCACCCCAAGAUUAGAUCUCCCUUCCCGUGCAAGCGGGACUGAAGGCCACUCGUAGACUACGAGUUUGAUAGGCUGGGUGUGUAAGCGCAGUAAUGCGUUGAGCUUACCAGUACUAAUCGGCCGUGAGGCUUGACUGCUUAUAAUAC
rnacentral:rRNA from 1 species